rnacentral:lncRNA from 1 species
CCCUCCAUCUAGCACUGUGCCUCCAGGAGAGAGGGUUUUUUUCUGGUCGCCCCUGCAGACAUGACCCUGCUUGUCCCUGGCCAAUCCCAGGGCCAGACUGGAUUGUUGGCCCUCUGACUCACCCUAGAAGGCCUGGGGCUGGAGAGGCCUGGAACUCCUCGGAGAAGCCAAAGAUUUUGCAGAAUCAAGGAUGGAUGGAGUAUCAAAAUAAGGAACGGAAAAAACUGAAGAUAUACUAAGGAUUAAGGCCCAGGUUCAUCUAGUGUCCCCAGGUGCCAGGCAUUGUGCUGUGACUGUGAUGUGAAAAAAGAGGCCAGGACAACUGGACAAAGCUAGAGCUUUAGCUGUACAAACCUUAUCCUGUGACCCGGAGGGCAUUUCUUCUAGAGUCUCGGUGCUUCCCAGAUUGGAGAGCUGAGUGCU